AGCAGUAAGGAAUAUUGCGCAAUGUUCGAAAGCCUGACGCAGCGACGCCGCGUGGGGGAUGAAGGUCUUCGGAUUGUAAACCCCUUUCGGGAGGGAAGAUGGAACGAGCAAUCGUUCGGUCGCUACCUCCAGAAGCAGCCACGACCAACUUCCUGCCAGCAGCCUAGGUAAUAGGAAGGUGGCAAUCGUUGUUUUGAUUCACUGGGAGUACAGGGUGGGUAGGCGGUUUGGUAAGCCUUCUGUUAAAGCUUCGGGCCCAACCCGGAAAGUGCAGAGGGUACUGCCUGGAUAGAGGGGGGGAGAGGAGCGCGGAAUUCCCGGUGUAGCGGUGAAAUGGGUAGAGAUCGGGAGGAAGGCCGGUGGCGAAGGCGGCGCUCUGGAACCCACCUGACGCUGAGACACGAAAGCGUGGGGAGCAAACAGGAUUAGAUACCCUUGUAGUCCACGCCCUAAACUAUGGAUAGUAAGUGUCGGCGGGUUACCGCCGGUGCCGCAGCUAACGC
rnacentral:rRNA from 1 species